rnacentral:tRNA from 1 species
AUUCAAAUAGUUUAAUAAAAAUAUUAGUUUGUGGGACUAAAGAUAUACUAGGUAUUUUGGAUA